rnacentral:tRNA from 1 species
AAAAACUUSGGAUAUUUAAACCAAGGGCCUUCAAWGCCCUAAAAAAGGGCGCAAACCC